CAGGGCCAGGCCCCGCCUACAGCCAAGGGUGAGAGCUGCAAGGAAUGUCUGCGUCCUCACCCCCACCUGCGUCCAGAGACAAACUUCAGACCUCAGCUUCUGACCUCAGCUUCCUCAUCUGUAAAAUAACAUUUAAAAUGUCUACUUCGUGGGAAAAAUAUAUUGAGUACCUUCUGUUAAUUUCAGCAUUUGUGGAUAGACAGAUGCCUUCACCUUGAAGCUCUUCUUGACUUGGUGUGCCUAGGACUCAGUGCGAAAAGCAGGGGAAAGGCAGGGGCUAGUUCCUUAGCUACCCCAUCUUUCAAGGGGAAGAGGGAUAAAACCUCGACUUGUGGAAUGCCUACUGAGUAUUCAACCUUCACAUCCCUGCACAAGAGGUACUAGAAAAGAAACCUGAAGAUCUUGGACAUCAAGUAUCUGGCCCCAGAUAACAUAUGGACUGAGCAGGAUGGGAAUACAAGUCAUCCUGAAUAACACAGCAGAGUUCACCAGCCACAAAUGUUCCUCCUUUAGGGAGAGAGGAGGUGACCUGUGGUGGAGUGGGACAGCA